AGCGAACGCUGGCGGCAGGCCUAACACAUGCAAGUCGAACGGAUCCUUCGGGAUUAGUGGCGGACGGGUGAGUAACACGUGGGAACGUGCCCUUUGGUUCGGAACAACUCAGGGAAACUUGAGCUAACACCGGAUGUGCCCUUCGGGGGAAAGAUUUAUCGCCAUUGGAGCGGCCCGCGUCUGAUUAGCUAGUUGGUGAGGUAAAGGCUCACCAAGGCGACGAUCAGUAGCUGGUCUGAGAGGAUGAUCAGCCACAUUGGGACUGAGACACGGCCCAAACUCCUACGGGAGGCAGCAGUGGGGAAUCUUGCGCAAUGGGCGAAAGCCUGACGCAGCCAUGCCGCGUGAUGAUGAAGGUCUUAGGAUUGUAAAAUUCUUUCACCGGGGACGAUAAUGACGGUACCCGGAGAAGAAGCCCCGGCUAACUUCGUGCCAGCCGCCGCGGUAA
rnacentral:rRNA from 1 species